UACUGUAUAAUUUAAUAAAAAUAGUAGUUUUGUAAACUGUCAAUGUCCUAGGACUGUAGUAA
rnacentral:tRNA from 1 species